UCCUCUCUACUCGGCUCUUGUGAGGCCCCAUCUGGAGUACUGUGUCCAGGUGUGGAGCCCUCAGUACAAGAAAGACACAGAGAUUUUGGAAAGGGCCCAGAGGAGGGCGACUAAGAUGAUCAGGGGGCUGGAGCACCUCCCCUAUGAGGACAGGCUGAGGGAGUUGGGCUUGUUCAGCCUGGAGAAGAGAAGACUGCGGGGUGACCUCAUUGCAGCCUAUCAAUACCUGAAGGGAACCUACACCCAGGAGGGGAGUAAACUCUUCAAAAGGGCUGACAACAGCAGGACUAGGGGAAAUGGAUCCAAGUUGAAAGAGGAAAGAUUUAGGUUGGAUGUUAGGGAGAAGUUCUUCACAAGGAGAGUAGUUAGGCCCUGGAACGGGCUGCCCAGGGAGGUUGUGGAUGCCCCGUCCUUGGACGUGUUUAAGGCCAGGUUGGACGGGGUCCUGGGCAACCUGAUCUGAAUGUGUGUGUUUGGUGGCCCUGCUAGGCAGGGGGGUUGGAACUACAUGAUCCUUGAGGUCCCUUCCAACCCGGGUGAUUCUGUGAUUCUGUGAUUCUGUAGAGAA